rnacentral:lncRNA from 1 species
GAUAUGCAUCAGUGUGUAAAGUGCCCAGAUCAUCAGUAUGGCAAUAACCAGCUUUUUAUAAAUCUCCACAAAAAAAUAACUGAUUAAAGAUAACCCUGAGUUUACUGUUCUCACAGCUGCUAUACUUGGUCUCCUUAUGAAGCACCAAGACAUUCUAAUAGCCAAGGCCAAUAAGCUGGAUCUCAGUUAUGUCCUGCUCAUCUCCCUCAUCAUCUCUUUCAUCUGCUCCUUUCUUUUCAUUGGCCAUCCCAACAUGUUGAUAUGUAUCCUACAGAAGACCACACUGCAGCUAUGUUAACUAUACUAUCCAAAACCGUAACUGUGGUUCUUGCCUUUUAGGUCACCGUUCUGGGAAGAAGAAUGAGACAAUUGUUGGUCUCAGGAACACUUAAGUGCACAAUCCCUAUGUGCUCCCUCAUCUAUCUCACCUUAUAUGAAGUCUAGAUGAGAACUUCUACCUUUAUUCACAUAGAUGCAUACUCUGAGCAUGACCACACGUGGUAUUGUAUGACAAAGAUUCCAUCACAGACUUCUACUGUAUCCUGGAAUACCUGGUCUCUCUUACCCUUGAGAUCUUCUCUGUGGCUUUCCUGGUCAGAACCCUGCCUGAAACUUU